GGCCAGUGUGGGGAGGCUCCGAGCGUCGGCUCAGGAGACGCACGGCCCGGAUGGCGACCGUGGAGACGGGGGACCCACUGGCAGGUGCUGGGGGUGACCCUGCAGGCCGUCGCCUUCCAAGUCCUGGCAGCAGCGGGCACAGCCGCGAAGCCCGCGCCCUACAGGUGCGCCCCGCGUGCCCGGGGCGGGGGCAGGGGUAAAAGGUCGGGGCGGUGGAGUCGGCCGACUGAGGAAUAAGGCAGGACGCCAGGCUGCGGGCACCGCCCACGUGCUGCUUCCCACGAGCUAAUCAAGUGGAAAUGUCAAUGGGGAAAUCCAGGUCAACUAUAAUUCCCAUCAUGACUAAGCAGCAUAAAGACUGACUACAGCAACCUAGAACUGACCUCAGAGAGAAAUCAGUCAAAGCAGGAUCAGUCGUUUCCAGGAUUCUUGGAUUUUAUUUAUUCAUGAGAGACACAGAGAGAGGCAGAGACACAGGCAGAGGG